CAUAAAAAGCUGCUUCCGACGAAUACUUUGAGUAUAACUUUACCCGAAGGAGCUCAGAUAAAGUGAUGAAUGUGGCGCGAGACGUACUUACUUCUUUCAGCGAUGUAAUCUUAAAAAUGGCUUGAUAAUGGUCGAUUGUAACAAAGACCGGAUUAUUAUCACCCCAUGAACCCGAAACCCGCUCUAUAGAACCACUCUAUAGAGGCGAAUAUCGCGUGAGGGCCCGGAGAGAGCAGCCCGAGGAGCCGUCACAGUCUGAGCGGCCGGAGCGGUCUCUCCUAUUACUAAUUCGUUCAACCUCACCAGUCACCAUCAUUAACAUGGACUUACAACGCUAACAAUAAAACUACAUACACGUCGUAUACAAGAAUAUACAAGGAUCUAGAGGGGGAUGGUAUUUAAAAUCUUUAUAUAUCAACUUCACUUUAUAUUAUAAUGAUGAGGGAAACGACGACUAUGACAUACUGAAUAUUGCACAUAUAAUGUCGUACAUUUAUAACAGUUAGACACGCUCAACGGAAUUCCAAAAUUCACUACAAAUUAUUCUCAGUAAAAAAACUAAAAAAACAUAAAUACAUUCGCUUCUACGAACCUAUUUUAUAAAUUCUCUCAUUUUAAAAUAAGAAUAUUUUUUAUUCGAUUCAAAUUGCACAGAAUAUUUGAAACAUAACGUACUUCAAAAAGAUGAAAGACAAUAAAGUAUUAAAUUACUUAAAUAUAGAGACAUUAACAAUUAAUGGAGACAUAAAGAGAGGUCGCAGUGUCAAGAGGUGGCCGAAAAGAACUCACAACAGAUCUGGAACAAUUGACGUGUUAGAGAUACAUUGGUGGUUGUUAACAUUUGGCGGACGUGGAGACGGCUCCUCGAUACACAGCCCUGCUACAAAGAACUUAUUCUAUCGGUAUGGGUUGAGAGACAAACGGUUUUCUUGUAAUAAAAUCAUAAAGUCGCUAUAAAUUGAUAUAGCGUCUAUGGAGUAUUGUGAUAUAUAUUUUAUGAUAAUAUUUUAUAAAUAUAAUCUGCUACACACGUGGCAGUCAUCAGGCGCAGACGUCCUCUCUAACUCUUUGAUAACUUCUCAGUUAGUCUACGUAAUUAGUCCAUUAUCUCUUUAAUUGCCUCGUACAAUAUGGCUAAGUACGAAAUUAAUUUCACGCUGUAGCAUGUAUGGAAUAUACAACCGAUGAACGCUUGCCAGUUGCCACAGCGUAUUAUAUGCAGCGAACGAUUUUAUCCUCUACAACUAACAAGAUACGGUAGGAAAUCGUUCGCAUUCGAUUAUACAAUAAUAUGAGGGAGGAGGGCAACAACACGGUCUCUAAGAGACGGUCACAUUUAGAACGCUUUUGUUCGCGAAACUAUUGGCUUUACGACUUUGAAUAGAGUUGAAGUUACCGAAGACACGAACGAAACACGAGAGGGGGGCGAUACAUGAGUGAUAACGUUUUAAUAAUCGGAAGACUAAACUAUUCUACUAAAGCGAGUAACAGGAAACUAUUGUUAUUCGAUUAUUAUUAUUGACAAAUUAUAUUAUUAAUUGUGUUAUGCAAGAACAGAUUAAAUCGAUCUCCAAUGACAA